rnacentral:rRNA from 1 species
GAAUGCUGACAUAAGUAACGAUAAAGCGGGUGAAAAGCCCGCUCGCCGGAAGACCAAGGGUUCCUGUCCAACGUUAAUCGGGGCAGGGUGAGUCGACCCCUAAGGCGAGGCCGAAAGGCGUAGUCGAUGGGAAACAGGUUAAUAUUCCUGUACUUGGUGUUACUGCGAAGGGGGGACGGAGAAGGCUAUGUUAGCCGGGCGACGGUUGUCCCGGUUUAAGCAUGUAGGCUGGUUAUCCAGGCAAAUCCGGAUAAUCAAGGCUGAGGUGUGAUGACGAGGCACUACGGUGCUGAAGUAACAAAUGCCCUGCUUCCAGGAAAAGCCUCUAAGCAUCAGGUAACAUUAAAUCGUACCCCAAACCGACACAGGUGGUCAGGUAGAGAAUACCAAGGCGCUUGAGAGAACUCGGGUGAAGGAACUAGGCAAAAUGGUGCCGUAACUUCGGGAGAAGGCACGCUGGUGUGUAGGUGAAGUCCCUGCGGAUGGAGCUGAGACCAGUCGAAGAUACCAGCUGGCUGCAACUGUUUAUUAAAAACACAGCACUGUGCAAACACGAAAGUGGACGUAUACGGUGUGACGCCUGCCCGGUGCCGGAAGGUUAAUUGAUGGGGUUAUCCGUAAGGAGAAGCUCUUGAUCGAAGCCCCGGUAAACGGCGGCCGUAACUAUAACGGUCCUAAGGUAGCGAAAUUCCUUGUCGGGUAAGUUCCGACCUGCACGAAUGGCGUAAUGAUGGCCAGGCUGUCUCCACCCGAGACUCAGUGAAAUUGAACUCGCUGUGAAGAUGCAGUGUACCCGCGGCAAGACGGAAAGACCCCGUGAACCUUUACUAUAGCUUGACACUGAACAUUGAGCCUUGAUGUGUAGGAUAGGUGGGAGGCUUUGAAGCGUGGACGCCAGUCUGCGUGGAGCCAACCUUGAAAUACCACCCUUUAAUGUUUGAUGUUCUAACGUUGGCCCCUUACCGGGGUUGCGGACAGUGUCUGGUGGGUAGUUUGACUGGGGCGGUCUCCUCCCAAAGCGUAACGGAGGAGCACGAAGGUUAGCUAAUCCUGGUCGGACAUCAGGAGGUUAGUGCAAUGGCAUAAGCUAGCUUGACUGCGAGCGUGACGGCGCGAGCAGGUGCGAAAGCAGGUCAUAGUGAUCCGGUGGUUCUGAAUGGAAGGGCCAUCGCUCAACGGAUAAAAGGUACUCCGGGGAUAACAGGCUGAUACCGCCCAAGAGUUCAUAUCGACGGCGGUGUUUGGCACCUCGAUGUCGGCUCAUCACAUCCUGGGGCUGAAGUAGGUCCCAAGGGUAUGGCUGUUCGCCAUUUAAAGUGGUACGCGAGCUGGGUUUAGAACGUCGUGAGACAGUUCGGUCCCUAUCUGCCGUGGGCGCUGGAGAAUUGAGGGGGGCUGCUCCUAGUACGAGAGGACCGGAGUGGACGCAUCACUGGUGUUCGGGUUGUCAUGCCAAUGGCACUGCCCGGUAGCUAAAUGCGGAAGAGAUAAGUGCUGAAAGCAUCUAAGCACGAAACUUGCCCCGAGAUGAGUUCUCCCUGAGACUU